UACGUAGGGUGCAAGCGUUGUCCGGAAUUAUUGGGCGUAAAGGGCUCGUAGGCGGUUUGUCGCGUCGGGAGUGAAAACUCAGGGCUUAACCCUGAGCCUGCUUCCGAUACGGGCAGACUAGAGGUAGGCAGGGGAGAGCGGAACUCCUGGUGUAGCGGUGGAAUGCGCAGAUAUCAGGAAGAACACCGGUGGCGAAGGCGGCUCUCUGGGCCUUACCUGACGCUGAGGAGCGAAAGCGUGGGUAGCGAACAGG
rnacentral:rRNA from 1 species